ACAAACUUGGUCAUUUAGAGGAAGUAAAAGUCGUAACAAGGUCUCCGUUGGUGAACCAGCGGAGGGAUCAUUACCGAGAUUACAACUCCCAAACCCCUGUGAACAUACCUAUCGUUGCCUCGGCGGGCUCGCCCCGGCGCCCCAGGCCCGGAACCAGGCGCCCGCCGGAGGACCUAAACUCUUGUCUCGCAGCAUGUAUCCUCUGAGUGACACAAGUAAAUAAAUCAAAACUUUCAACAACGGAUCUCUUGGUUCUGGCAUCGAUGAAGAACGCAGC
rnacentral:misc_RNA from 1 species